rnacentral:miRNA from 1 species
CCGAGCGCUCGGGAGAUUCCGAC